rnacentral:rRNA from 1 species
GAUCUAGCGGCGAACGGGUGAGUAACACGUAAAUAAUCUGCCCCGGAGUUGGGGAUAACCAGUCUAACGGCUGAUUAAUACCGAAUAUUGAUGACGACCGCAUGGUGUGUUAUCGAAAGGCUUCGGUCGCUCCGGGAUGAAUUUGCGUAGCAUUAGCUAGUUGGAGAGGUAACUGCUCACCAAGGCAACGAUGCUUAGCCGGCCUGAGAGGGUGAACGGCCACAUUGGGACUGAGAUACGGCCCAGACUCC